rnacentral:rRNA from 1 species
GACGAACGCUGGCGGCGUGCUUAACACAUGCAAGUCGAGCGGAAAGGCCACUUCGGUGGUACUCGAGCGGCGAACGGGUGAGUAACACGUGAGUAAUCUGCCCCUGGCUUUGGGAUAGCCACCGGAAACGGUGAUUAAUACCGGAUACGACCACUUCUCGCAUGGGAUGGUGGUGGAAAGUUUUUUCGGCCAGGGAUGUGCUCGCGGCCUAUCAGCUUGAUGGUGAGGUAAUGGCUCACCAUGGCUUCGACGGGUAGCCGGCCUGAGAGGGUGACCGGUCACACUGGGACUGAGGCACGGACCAGACUCCUACGGGAGGCAGCAGUGGGGAAUAUUGGACAAUGGGCGGAAGCCUGAUCCAGCAACGCCGCGUGAGGGAUGACGGCCUUCGGGUUGUAAACCUCUUUCAGCAGGGACGAAGCGCAAGUGACGGUACCUGCAGAGGAAGCACCGGCCAACUACGUGCCAGCCGCCGCAGUAA